CGCGGCCUAUCAGCUUGUUGGUGGGGUAGUGGCCUACCAAGGCGACGACGGGUAGCCGGCCUGAGAGGGUGACCGGCCACACUGGGACUGAGACACGGCCCAGACUCCUACGGGAGGCAGCAGUGGGGAAUAUUGCGCAAUGGGCGGAAGCCUGACGCAGCGACGCCGCGUGGGGGAUGACGGCCUUCGGGUUGUAAACCUCUUUCAGCAGGGACGAAGCGGAAGUGACGGUACCUGCAGAAGAAGCACCGGCCAACUACGUGCCAGCAGCCGCGGUAAUACGUAGGGUGCAAGCGUUGUCCGGAAUUAUUGGGCGUAAAGAGCUCGUAGGCGGUUGGUCGCGUCGGCUGUGAAAACCCGGAGCUCAACUCCGGGCCUGCAGUCGAUACGGGCCGACUUGAGUGUUGCAGGGGAGACUGGAAUUCCUGGUGUAGCGGUGAAAUGCGCAGAUAUCAGGAGGAACACCGGUGGCGAAGGCGGGUCUCUGGGCAACAACUGACGCUGAGGAGCGAAAGCGUGGGGAGCGAACAGGAUUAGAUACCCUGGUAGUCCACGCCGUAAACGUUGGGCGCUAGGUGUGGGGGCCAUUCCACGGUCUCCGUGCCGCAGCUAACGCAUUAAGCGCCCCGCCUGGGGAGUACGG
rnacentral:rRNA from 1 species